rnacentral:rRNA from 1 species
AGCGCAACCUCGCCCUUAGUUGCAGCAUUAGUUGGGCACUCUAAGGGGACUGCCGGUGAUAAGCCGAGAGGAAGGUGGGGAGUGACGUCAAGUCCUCAUGGCCUUACGGGCUGGGCUACACACGUGCUACAAUGGUGGUGACAGUGGGCAGCGAGCACGCGAGUGUGAGCUAAUCUCCAAAAGCCAUCUCAGUUCGGAUUGCACUCUGCAACUCGAGUGCAUGAAGUUGGAAUCGCUAGUAAUCGCGGAUCAGCAUGUCACGGUGAAUACGUUCCCGGGCCUU